UACGUAGGGUGCGAGCGUUGUCCGGAAUUACUGGGCGUAAAGAGCUCGUAGGUGGUUUGUCGCGUUGUUCGUGAAAACCGGGGGCUUAACCCUCGGCGUGCGGGCGAUACGGGCAGACUUGAGUACUGCAGGGGAGACUGGAAUUCCUGGUGUAGCGGUGGAAUGCGCAGAUAUCAGGAGGAACACCGGUGGCGAAGGCGGGUCUCUGGGCAGUAACUGACGCUGAGGAGCGAAAGCGUGGGGAUCAAACAGG
rnacentral:rRNA from 1 species